UGGGGAAUAUUGGACAAUGGGGGCAACCCUGAUCCAGCAAUGCCGCGUGUGUGAAGAAGGUUUUCGGAUUGUAAAGCACUUUCGACGGGGACGAUGAUGACGGUACCCGUAGAAGAAGCCCCGGCUAACUUCGUGCCAGCAGCCGCGGUAAUACGAAGGGGGCUAGCGUUGCUCGGAAUGACUGGGCGUAAAGGGCGUGUAGGCGGUUUGUACAGUCAGAUGUGAAAUCCCCGGGCUUAACCUGGGAGCUGCAUUUGAUACGUGCAGACUAGAGUGUGAGAGAGGGUUGUGGAAUUCCCAGUGUAGAGGUGAAAUUCGUAGAUAUUGGGAAGAACACCGGUGGCGAAGGCGGCAACCUGGCUCAUAACUGACGCUGAGGCGCGAAAAGC
rnacentral:rRNA from 1 species